UGCAAUAGCUGAAGUUUCUUCUCAUUCCUUCCUCUUUCCCACGCGUAUCUACCCAGGGACCUAUGUCGGCACACUGCCCAAAGGACAUCUCACUGUUGUGUUCUUCCCAAAUCUACCUUCCCGGACACUGUGCACAAAUGAGACCAAAAAUCCUUCCACUGUGCCAAUGCCUUUUAAAUACAGUCAUUUAAAAUUAAUCUGUUCUGAAAUACAAACUGGUGAAA
rnacentral:lncRNA from 1 species